AUAAAUAAAUUUUUUAUGAUUUUGGAGAUUUUUUUUAAAUUUAUUUUACAUAUAAAUUUUAGUGUGUAUUUUUAAUUAUUUUAAUAAUAAUUAAUUUAUUUUGUAGUAAUUAACAUUAAAAAUUUAAGAAAUUAAGAUUUAGUAAUAUGUAAAUUAAUAACAAAUUUUGUGCCAGCAGUUGCGGUUAAACAAAAGUUAGAUUAAAUUUUAUUAAAUAUUAAUAAAUAAUAUAAAAUUUUUAAUUUAAAUAUUAAAUUAUUAAGUGAAAUUUUAAUUUAAUUAAAAAUUAUAAUAUAAUAUAUGAUUUAAUAAAUUCUAUUAUAAACUAGGAUUAGAUACCCUAUUAUUAAGAAUUUAAAUAAAAAUAUUAAAAUAGUAUGUAAUUAUUUAUUGAAACUUAAAUAAUAUGGCGGUAUUUUAGUUCAUUUAGAGGAAUCUGUUUAUUAAUUGAUAGUCCACGAAUAACUUUACUUAAUUAAAAAUUUUGUAUAUCGUUGUUAAAAAAAUAUUUUUAAAUGAUUUUAAUAUUUAAAAAUUUAAAAUAAAAAUUAAAUCAGAUCAAGAUGCAGAUUAUAAUUAAGAAUAUAAUGGAUUACAAUAAAUUUAUUUAUAUGAAUAUUUAAUUGAAAUAUUAAAUUAAAAGUGGAUUUAAAUGUAAUUUUAUUUAAUUUAUUAAAAUGAUUAAAAAUUAAAAUAUGUACAUAUUGCCCGUCGCUUUCAUUUAUAAAUUGAAAUAAGUCGUAACAAAGUAGAGGUACUGGAAAGUGUUUCUAGAAAGAA
rnacentral:ncRNA from 1 species